rnacentral:rRNA from 1 species
AGCGUACACGGUGGAUGCCCUGGCAGUCAGAGGCGAUGAAGGACGUGCUAAUCUGCGAUAAGCGUCGGUAAGGUGAUAUGAACCGUUAUAACCGGCGAUUUCCGAAUGGGGAAACCCAGUGUGUUUCGACACACUAUCAUUAACUGAAUCCAUAGGUUAAUGAGGCGAACCGGGGGAACUGAAACAUCUAAGUACCCCGAGGAAAAGAAAUCAACCGAGAUUCCCCCAGUAGCGGCGAGCGAACGGGGAGCAGCCCAGAGCCUGAAUCAGUGUGUGUGUUAGUGGAAGCGUCUGGAAAGGCGCGCGAUACAGGGUGACAGCCCCGUACACAAAAAUGCACAUGCUGUGAGCUCGAUGAGUAGGGCGGGACACGUGGUAUCCUGUCUGAAUAUGGGGGGACCAUCCUCCAAGGCUAAAUACUCCUGACUGACCGAUAGUGAACCAGUACCGUGAGGGAAAGGCGAAAAGAACCCCGGCGAGGGGAGUGAAAAAGAACCUGAAACCGUGUACGUACAAGCAGUGGGAGCACAGAGCAAUCUGUGUGACUGCGUACCUUUUGUAUAAUGGGUCAGCGACUUAUAUUCUGUAGCAAGGUUAACCGAAUAGGGGAGCCGAAGGGAAACCGAGUCUUAACUGGGCGUUAAGUUGCAGGGUAUAGACCCGAAACCCGGUGAUCUAGCCAUGGGCAGGUUGAAGGUUGGGUAACACUAACUGGAGGACCGAACCGACUAAUGUUGAAAAAUUAGCGGAUGACUUGUGGCUGGGGGUGAAAGGCCAAUCAAACCGGGAGAUAGCUGGUUCUCCCCGAAAGCUAUUUAGGUAGCGCCUCGUGAAUUCAUCUCCGGGGGUAGAGCACUGUUUCGGCAAGGGGGUCAUCCCGACUUACCAACCCGAUGCAAACUGCGAAUACCGGAGAAUGUUAUCACGGGAGACACACGGCGGGUGCUAACGUCCGUCGUGAAGAGGGAAACAACCCAGACCGCCAGCUAAGGUCCCAAAGUCAUGGUUAAGUGGGAAACGAUGUGGGAAGGCCCAGACAGCCAGGAUGUUGGCUUAGAAGCAGCCAUCAUUUAAAGAAAGCGUAAUAGCUCACUGGUCGAGUCGGCCUGCGCGGAAGAUGUAACGGGGCUAAACCAUGCACCGAAGCUGCGGCAGCGACACUAUGUGUUGUUGGGUAGGGGAGCGUUCUGUAAGCCGUUGAAGGUGGCCUGUGAGGGUUGCUGGAGGUAUCAGAAGUGCGAAUGCUGACAUAAGUAACGAUAAAGCGGGUGAAAAGCCCGCUCGCCGGAAGACCAAGGGUUCCUGUCCAACGUUAAUCGGGGCAGGGUGAGUCGACCCCUAAGGCGAGGCCGAAAGGCGUAGUCGAUGGGAAACAGGUUAAUAUUCCUGUACUUGGUGUUACUGCGAAGGGGGGACGGAGAAGGCUAUGUUGGCCGGGCGACGGUUGUCCCGGUUUAAGCGUGUAGGCUGGUUUUCCAGGCAAAUCCGGAAAAUCAAGGCUGAGGCGUGAUGACGAGGCACUACGGUGCUGAAGCAACAAAUGCCCUGCUUCCAGGAAAAGCCUCUAAGCAUCAGGUAACAUCAAAUCGUACCCCAAACCGACACAGGUGGUCAGGUAGAGAAUACCAAGGCGCUUGAGAGAACUCGGGUGAAGGAACUAGGCAAAAUGGUGCCGUAACUUCGGGAGAAGGCACGCUGAUAUGUAGGUGAAGUGAUUUACUCAUGGAGCUGAAAUCAGUCGAAGAUACCAGCUGGCUGCAACUGUUUAUUAAAAACACAGCACUGUGCAAACACGAAAGUGGACGUAUACGGUGUGACGCCUGCCCGGUGCCGGAAGGUUAAUUGAUGGGGUUAGCGGUAACGCGAAGCUCUUGAUCGAAGCCCCGGUAAACGGCGGCCGUAACUAUAACGGUCCUAAGGUAGCGAAAUUCCUUGUCGGGUAAGUUCCGACCUGCACGAAUGGCGUAAUGAUGGCCAGGCUGUCUCCACCCGAGACUCAGUGAAAUUGAACUCGCUGUGAAGAUGCAGUGUACCCGCGGCAAGACGGAAAGACCCCGUGAACCUUUACUAUAGCUUGACACUGAACAUUGAGCCUUGAUGUGUAGGAUAGGUGGGAGGCUUUGAAGUGUGGACGCCAGUCUGCAUGGAGCCGACCUUGAAAUACCACCCUUUAAUGUUUGAUGUUCUAACGUUGACCCGUAAUCCGGGUUGCGGACAGUGUCUGGUGGGUAGUUUGACUGGGGCGGUCUCCUCCUAAAGAGUAACGGAGGAGCACGAAGGUUGGCUAAUCCUGGUCGGACAUCAGGAGGUUAGUGCAAUGGCAUAAGCCAGCUUGACUGCGAGCGUGACGGCGCGAGCAGGUGCGAAAGCAGGUCAUAGUGAUCCGGUGGUUCUGAAUGGAAGGGCCAUCGCUCAACGGAUAAAAGGUACUCCGGGGAUAACAGGCUGAUACCGCCCAAGAGUUCAUAUCGACGGCGGUGUUUGGCACCUCGAUGUCGGCUCAUCACAUCCUGGGGCUGAAGUAGGUCCCAAGGGUAUGGCUGUUCGCCAUUUAAAGUGGUACGCGAGCUGGGUUUAGAACGUCGUGAGACAGUUCGGUCCCUAUCUGCCGUGGGCGCUGGAGAACUGAGGGGGGCUGCUCCUAGUACGAGAGGACCGGAGUGGACGCAUCACUGGUGUUCGGGUUGUCAUGCCAAUGGCACUGCCCGGUAGCUAAAUGCGGAAGAGAUAAGUGCUGAAAGCAUCUAAGCACGAAACUUGCCCCGAGAUGAGUUCUCCCUGACUCCUUGA